GACGAACGCUGGCGGCGUGCCUAAUACAUGCAAGUCGAGCGGAUGAGAAAGGAGCUUGCUCCUUUCGAUUCAGCGGCGGACGGGUGAGUAACACGUGGGCAACCUGCCUGUAAGACUGGGAUAACUCCGGGAAACCGGGGCUAAUACCGGAUAACUCAUGAGACUGCAUAGUCUGAUGAUAAAAGAUGGUUUUGCUAUCACUUACAGAUGGGCCCGCGGCGCAUUAGCUAGUUGGUGAGGUAACGGCUCACCAAGGCGACGAUGCGUAGCCGACCUGAGAGGGUGAUCGGCCACACUGGGACUGAGACACGGCCCAGACUCCUACGGGAGGCAGCAGUAGGGAAUCUUCCGCAAUGGACGAAAGUCUGACGGAACAACGCCGCGUGAGCGAUGAANGNCUUCGGGUCGUAAAGCUCUGUUGUUAGGGAAGAACAAGUAUGAGUUAACUGCUCAUACCGUGACGGUACCUAACGAGAGAAGCACCGGCUAACUACGUGCCAGCAGCCGCGGUAAUACGUAAGGUGCAAGCGUUGUCCGGAUUUAUUGGGCGUAAAGCGC
rnacentral:rRNA from 1 species